AUUGAACGCUGGCGGCAGGCCUAACACAUGCAAGUCGAACGGUAGCACAGAGAGCUUGCUCUUGGGUGACGAGUGGCGGACGGGUGAGUAAUGUCUGGGGAUCUGCCUGACAGAGGGGGAUAACUACUGGAAACGGUAGCUAAUACCGCAUAACCUCGCAAGAGCAAAGAGGGGGACCUUCGGGCCUCUCGCUGUCAGAUGAACCCAGAUGGGAUUAGCUAGUAGGUGGGGUAAUGGCUCACCUAGGCGACGAUCCCUAGCUGGUCUGAGAGGAUGACCAGCCACACUGGAACUGAGACACGGUCCAGACUCCUACGGGAGGCAGCAGUGGGGAAUAUUGCACAAUGGGCGCAAGCCUGAUGCAGCCAUGCCGCGUGUAUGAAGAAGGCCUUCGGGUUGUAAAGUACUUUCAGCGGGGAGAAGGUGUUGAGGUUAAUAACCUCAGCAAUUGACGUUACC
rnacentral:rRNA from 1 species